rnacentral:rRNA from 1 species
GAUGAACGCUAGCGGGAGGCCUAAUACAUGCAAGUCGAACGGUAACAGGUAGCAAUACGCUGACGAGUGGCGCACGGGUGAGUAACACGUACACAACCUGCCUAUAACUGGGGCAUAACUUUGGGAAACUAAAGCUAAUUCCCCAUAACACUGUAGCAAGGCAUCUUGCAGCAGUUAAAGCUCAGGCGGUUAUAGAUGGGUGUGCGUUUGAUUAGCUAGUUGGUAAGGUAACGGCUUACCAAGGCUACGAUCAAUAACUGGUCUGAGAGGAUGAUCAGUCACACGGGCACUGAGACACGGGCCCGACUCCUACGGGAGGCAGCAGUGGGGAAUAUUGGACAAUGGGCGCAAGCCUGAUCCAGCCAUCCCGCGUGAAGGAUUAAGGCCCUAUGGGUUGUAAACUUCUUUUCUCUGGGAAUAAAAACUGGGAUUCUUCUUAGCUUGAAGGUACCAGAGGAAUAAGCACCGGCUAACUCCGUGCCAGCCGCCGCAGUAAGAC